UCGGGAAUUUUGGGCAAUGGGGGAAACCCUGACCCAGCAACGCCGCGUGAAGGAUGAAGUAUUUCGGUAUGUAAACUUCGAAAGAAUAGGAAGAAUAAAUGACGGUACUAUUUAUAAGGUCCGGCUAACUACGUGCCAGCAGCCGCGGUAAUACGUAGGGACCAAGCGUUGUUCGGAUUUACUGGGCGUAAAGGGCGCGUAGGCGGCAUGACAAGUCACUUGUGAAAUCUCUGGGCUUAACCCAGAACGGCCAAGUGAUACUGUCGCGCUAGAGUGCAGAAGGGGCAAUCGGAAUUCCUAGUGUAGAGGUGAAAUUCGUAGAUAUUAGGAAGAACACCAGUGGCGAAGGCGGCUCACUGGCCCGAUACUGACGCUGAGGUGCGAAAGCGUGGGGAGCAAACAGGAUUAGAUACCCAAGUAGUCCCUGAGCGGGCUGGCAAGGCGCAU
rnacentral:rRNA from 1 species